GACGGGGGCCCGCACAAGCGGAGGAACAUGUGGUUUAAUUCGAUGAUACGCGAGGAACCUUACCCGGGCUUGAACUGCAGCGGAAGGAAACAGAGAUGUUGACGUCCUUCGGGACCGCUGUGGAGGUGCUGCAUGGUUGUCGUCAGCUCGUGCCGUGAGGUGUCGGCUUAAGUGCCAUAACGAGCGCAACCCCUUUCAUUAGUUGCCAUCACUUCGGGUGGGCACUCUGGUGAUACUGCCACCGUAAGGUGUGAGGAAGGUGGGGAUGACGUCAAAUCAGCACGGCCCUUACGUCCGGGGCUACACACGUGUUACAAUGGGUGAUACAGAUGGCAGGUGCAUGGCAAUGUGCAUUAAAUCUUGAAAGUCAUCCUCAGUUCGGAUUGGGGUCUGCAACCCGACCCCAUGAAGCUGGAUUCGCUAGUAAUCGCGCAUCAGCCAUGGCGCGGUGAAUACGUUCCCGGGCCUUGUACACACCGCCCGUCAAGCCAUGAAAGCCGGGGGCGCCUGAAGUCCGUGACCGCGAGGGUCGGCCUAGGGUGAAACCGGUGAUGGGGCUAAAUCGUAACAAGAGAUCCGUACAAAA
rnacentral:rRNA from 1 species